UACAUAGGUCCCAAGCGUUGUUCGGAUUCAUUGGGCGUAAAGGGUGCGUAGGUGGCAUGGUUAGUCGGGUGUGAAAUCCCGGGGCUCAACCCCGGAACUGCACUCGAUACUGCCGUGCUGGAGUACUGGAGAGGAGACUGGAAUUUACGGUGUAGCAGUGAAAUGCGUAGAUAUCGUAAGGAAGACCGGUGGCGAAAGCUAGUCUCUGGACAGUCACUGACACUGAGGCACGAAGGCUAGGGGAGCAAACGGG
rnacentral:rRNA from 1 species